GCCGGGGUGGCCGAGCGGCUUUAGGCGGUGGACUGCAGAUCCGCUUACGCUGGUUCAAAUCCGGCCCCCGGCU
rfam:Candidate divison MSBL1 archaeon SCGC-AAA259B11 AAA259B11_Contig_1, whole genome shotgun sequence.